ACGGAAGGCAGCAGUGGGGGAUAUUGGACAAUGGAGGAAACUCUGAUCCAGCGACGCCGCGUGAGUGAAGAAGUAUUUCGGUAUGUAAAGCUCUAUCAGCAGGGAAGAAAAAGCGCAAGCAUUGACAGUACCUGACUAAGAAGCCCCGGCUAACUACGUGCCAGCAGCCGCGGUAAUACGUAGGGGGCAAGCGUUAUCCGGAUUUACUGGGUGUAAAGGGAGCGUAGGCGGCGAUGCAAGUCAGAUGUGAAAACCCGGGGCUCAACCCCGUGGACUGCAUUUGAAACUGUAUUGCUAGAGUAUCGGAGAGGUUAGUGGAAUUCCUAGUGUAGCGGUGAAAUGCGUAGAUAUUAGGAAGAACACCAGUGGCGAAGGCGGCUUACUGGACUGUAACUGACGUUGAGGCUCGAAAGCGUGGGGAGCAAACAGGAUUAGAUACCCUGGUA
rnacentral:rRNA from 1 species